GACGAACGCUGGCGGCGUGCCUAAUACAUGCAAGUCGAGCGCAGGAAGCCGUUCUGAACCCUUCGGGGGGACGACGGUGGAAUGAGCGGCGGACGGGUGAGUAACACGUAAAGAACCUGCCCAUAGGUCUGGGAUAACCACGAGAAAUCGGGGCUAAUACCGGAUGUGUCAUCGGACCGCAUGGUCCGCUGAUGAAAGGCGCUCCGGCGUCGCCCAUGGAUGGCUUUGCGGUGCAUUAGCUAGUUGGGGGGGUAAUGGCCCACCAAGGCGACGAUGCAUAGCCGACCUGAGAGGGUGAUCGGCCACACUGGGACUGAGACACGGCCCAGACUCCUACGGGAGGCAGCAGUAGGGAAUCUUCCACAAUGGACGAAAGUCUGAUGGAGCAACGCCGCGUGAACGAUGAAGGCUUUCGGGUCGUAAAGUUCUGUUGUAAGGGGAGAACAAGUGCCGCAGGCAAUGGCGGCACCUUGACGGUACCUUGCGAGAAAGCCACGGCUAACUACGUGCCAGCCGCCGCAGUAACAC
rnacentral:rRNA from 1 species